CAGUGAUGAUGGAAGUUACCAGUACAGUAUGUGGGAUGGCAUCCUCCACCCAGUGUAUCCUUUGGUGCAUACCUUGGUGGUGAACGCUUACCCAUGAAGUGAGAGCUGAGCCCUGCUGUGGUGUGGACCCCAUGAUAUUCUUACCAGUGAGAGCUGAGCCCUGCUGUGGCGGACCCCCAUGAUAUUCUUACCAAGAUGAGGAUGAUUGAAGAUGUAUGAGUGAGCUUCCUCUCACAGUGACUAGAACUUGGACCCAGUAGCAGUGCCAUGGAUGCUCAUGAAAUGAGACUCAUCCUAGAAAUGGGAAACAGAUCACAGAAGUGAAUCCUUACUACACUCGGAAUCCUUGAGGACUUGAAGCUUCUGCUCUACAAGAAGAGACUUCUCAUAAAGUUUCCCAUGAAGACAGAGGGUAUUGGCAAAUACUUUAUUAAGGAGUGCCAUUGGGAAGAACAGCAGUAAAGAACAGGGUGUGUGGAGGAGGAGGAGGGG